GACGAACGCUGGCGGCGUGCCUAAUACAUGCAAGUCGAACGCACGAAGUUGAAGAGCUUGCUCUUUAACCAAGUGAGUGGCGGACGGGUGAGUAACACGUGGGUAGCCUGCCCAUUAGAGGGGGAUAACAUUCGGAAACGGAUGCUAAUACCGCAUAGUUUCAGGAAUCGCAUGAUUCUUGAAGGGAAGGUGGCUUCGGCUACCACUAAUGGAUGGACCCGCGGCGUAUUAGCUAGUUGGUGAGGUAAUGGCUCACCAAGGCAAUGAUACGUAGCCGACCUGAGAGGGUGAUCGGCCACACUGGGACUGAGACACGGCCCAGACUCCUACGGGAGGCAGCAGUAGGGAAUCUUCCGCAAUGGACGAAAGUCUGACGGAGCAACGCCGCGUGAGUGAAGAAGGUUUUCGGAUCGUAAAACUCUGUUGUUAAAGAAGAACAAGGAUGAGAGUAACUGCUCAUCCCCUGACGGUAUUUAACCAGAAAGCCACGGCUAACUACGUGCCAGCAGCCGCGGUAAUACGUAGGUCCCGAGCGUUGUCCGGAUUUAUUGGGCGUAAAGCGAGCGCAGGUGGUUUAUUAAGUCUGGUGUAAAAGGCAGUGGCUCAACCAUUGUAUGCAUUGGAAACUGGUAGACUUGAGUGCAGGAGAGGAGAGUGGAAUUCCAUGUGUAGCGGUGAAAUGCGUAGAUAUAUGGAGGAACACCGGUGGCGAAAGCGGCUCUCUGGCCUGUAACUGACACUUACGCUCGAAAGCGUGGGAGCAGACAGG
rnacentral:rRNA from 1 species